UUAUAUGCAUAUCCUAGCUUCUGGGCCUGAGUAGCAGGUAGUUUACUUUGGGCACACUUUUCACCUGGAUGUGAAAAUAGUGCCCCCUAGCCUUAAGAAUUAGCCUACGUGUAAGACAUUAAAUUGAUGUCUGUGCCCUGUGAGAUGAUUCCUUGAAUACAAUAUUACAUUAGGCCUAACAACAAUCUACCACUUGGAAAUAUACAGACAAUAUUAUACACAUGUAGAUCAGUGUCCAUUGAAAAACAAGACAGCUUUGGUAAUUGAAAUUUGUCUUGUUUUAUACCUGAAAACACAUUUGUUGUGUAAAAGAGCACGAUUGUUCCUCUCUCAUUGCUUAUCUGGCUGCCUGAUGCACUUUCUCUUGAAUUCUAGAAUUGGAAUUUCAGUAAAUUUCCCAAAUUACUAAAUUGACUGAGUCACUUCAACGCUGUCACUGGGGUCUUCUUAUUAACAGUUUGAGUCCUUCACCCCCACUGGGAGGUAGCCAUUUCGGUACGUAAGGGAUAGACACCCUUCAUGAAACAACAUGACAGAGGAUGUUUUCCCACCGUGUUUUUGUGGAAGCCUAUAUGACAGACCGAGAUAGCGCCUAGAUAGACCUAAACAGUUGAGAAAGCCUUCCUCCUGUCCACGUAGAAGCAUAACACCUUGGAUACAGAGCAUUGGUAAAGUAUCUGUUUUUGGUCACACCACUUCUCAUAAACCCACCACUUAUUUCCAUACAGUAUGUAGAAGGGGACCUAGCACUCUGGAGCAUCUCAAUGACAAGAGGGAAGCCUGUCGCAUCCAAAUGUAUCUUCUCAUGGACCAGGCCCAGAGGGCCAUUGUUUCCGGGUGAGGGUGUAAAAUUACAUUUUUUCUUAGGUCAGCAGAUCCCUGCAUAACGGGAGUUGACAAGGCUCGUUGUAUUGCCUUGCCAUCGCGAGACUACCAAGAUGAGGCUGAGGGGAGGAAAAGCGUAAAGCAACGCCCUUGGCCAAGGGUGUGCAAGCUGUUCAUCCCCAGAGGUGCGUCUCCUGCAGUGUGUGUGUUCUUGCAACAGGGUAGAGUGGAUUACCUAUGUCUUCCUUGAGAGCAAACACAUUAAACUGAGUUGCUGCAUAAAGGGAAGGGUUUUAGGAGCACAGAUGUGCCUUUCCCAUAGUGGUGGCCAUAUGUGCCUGUCGAACUCUGUUGUCCAACCGAGAGGAGGCAGGCCAGAACCCAGAGUGAACUGUUGGCUGCCCCUCUCUGCCGCAGGGGGUGUACUCCUAGGUCGGGCGCCCCUUCUUCCAUUAGGAGGGGUAGGCCUGUAGCCACAAUUCCAGGGUAGAUUAGUUGAAGGCUUUACCCUCCUUCGCACUUCUGCCACAUGGAGGUGACAGCCGGCAUUAACAGUUCCUUCGGCUCAAGAGAAGCGUAAAGGAAAUCUGCUUUCUCCCUGUCGGACAGGUUGAGUCACAAAGCUCAUGGCACGGCUGCAUCCUUGAACGGCACUCCUGAAGGCUCGGAGGUUGGGUCCUGUGACAACACAGAUCUCAUCCCAAAGGUCUGGGUCAGGCUUGCACAAUCUCAAAUCGAUUUGCAUCUCCAACAACAUCAAAUUGGCCUGGUAAACCAGUAGUAGAAACGUAACAUUCAAUGCCAGUACAGAAAGUGUUUAAGACACAUAGACCUUUUGGUACAUAGACGCAGAGAAGCAAUGUUAACAUAGCUAGCAUUCGCUAUGUGGGCUAGUUGCCUAGUUAUUUAGGACAAAGUUAGCCAAAGGAAGCUAGCGUUAUGUUGGUCUAGCGACGACCAAAAGUAUGGCUCUCGGCCAAUAAGCAAUGUCUAGUCAACGCCGGUGAGAGAUUAAACUAGUUAUUCUACCCUUCCAAGUAGAAAAGCCUUUGCGGUGAGCUAGCCAGGUUAGCGAAGCCUUGCAACUAAGCUAACUAAGUCACCGCAGCCAGCCGUGUGACACUAGCUACAACUGGAGACGAAGGAAGAAAAUCAGUGAAGCAAAUUCUUACCCAACACAAAAGACGCGAGCUGAUAACCCUGCGCUCGGCGAUGUAACCUUAAACGAAAAUGAUGUGGAAACAUUUGAUUCAACCAGUGUGUGCCCAGUGGUAUGGUAAAGAAAAUGAAGCUGUAACUUACAAAUGAGAUGAAUAACCGUUUGUUAGAAUAUGGAUCAUUGAUAAACGAUGAUGUAUUGUAUCACCUUUGUCAAUUUAACAAGAUCUAUCAACCUGAUAGAAAAUGUGUACAUUAUUUUAAUGAUUGAAUUCUCUGUUUAACAUGAAUUCAAAAGACAUUCAUAUUUAUUUUGCACAAUGUUUUGAAAUACAUUAAAUGUGUAAUAUCUGUGGGAUUCUGUGCUUUACAUUAUAGCCAUUACCAUAUAUAUGAUUAAAUAUUAUCUGAUGUUGGCUGUGUGAAGUAUCUGCAUUUCUGCACUUGAGCAUCAUCAUGAAACAACUGCUUGCCUAUUUGUGUGUGUGACAAGAACUGAGUAACAUGGUGUGACCUGCAUGUUGCAAAACUGUAGAUAACAGCCCAGCAGAUGCUUUGUCCUUCUGUUUGUAUGUGACAAUAUUGAGCACAUGGUGUGACUUGCUGUAUCUUACAAAGUUGUGGUUAAUCAGGUAUAGGGAGGGGUGGUCAUCACGAGGUUUAACUGAGCUGGAAAAAUACUGAACAACACAAUAGUAGGAACUGAGCAACUGUUAUAACUAGGGGGUAAUACCAGAACAGUGAGAAUCUAUACAUCAACAGAGGGUGGACUCCAAUAAGCGCCAAGAGGCGGGGACCAGCCUGAGCGCCUGCGAUAGGCUGAGCAAGUCUAAACCACGCUCAGCCUCUACAGUGAUAGGCCAACAGACGGGUUGGAACUAUGUCCAUCACAGUAUAAGAACAACUGUUUACGUACAUCCUGUCAGUUCCCUGUUCUGCCCUGCGUGGUAUUACAGUGAGCCCGUAUAUACGAAAGUUGCAUUUGCCAUUUAUUACUUAGCUAAUAAAAGUACAUAGAGUGACUCAGUGUUAUAACUUGUUCUGAUACCAGAUUUGAAUUUACGCAACCCUAACAUAUCAGUGCAUUGUAUGCUAUUAUGAUCUUUAUGAGAUCACUCUUCACCAGGGAAAGCUUUACAAUCACUUCACAGUAUUGUUCUAGUCUAUUCAAGUAUUUUCCUGUUAAUUCUUCUUGGACCAAGUACUAUUCUAUGGAUAUUAUAAAUCAGAGCAAGAAUGAUCUAGCAAUAUUCAGGGACAUGCUGUGAACCACUAGAAGUCGGCUGUCCCCGCUAUCUACUUGGCACAGUUCGGGUUGAUGAUUGGCUGAAAAUGGCUGUUUUACGUGCGUGAAUGACGUUUCUCUGUCCCACCAUGCAGUGGGUGAUGUCUAAGGAAGGAGGAGCGGCUGAUAUGGAUACCCAGAGAGGAGAAGUCGCAGCACUGCUGAAAACACAGCUAUGAAAGGGAGAUACUUGGUACCUAGUGGACAGCCACUGGUUCAAACAGUGGAAGAAAUAUGUGGGCUUUGACAGCUGGGACAAAUAUCAGAUGGGAGACCAGAAUGUCUACCCUGGACCAGUGGAAAACUCAGGGCUCCUUACAAGUGUUGGGGAUGUUCUGGCCAUCAAGGAGCACCUCAUUGAUGAGCUGGACUACAUCCUGAUCCCAACAGAAGGCUGGAAUAAGCUAGUGAGCUGGUAUGCACUGAUGGAGGGACAUGAGGCCAUCUCACGCAAGGUGGUAGAACAGGGUAUGUUUGAAGCACUGCAAGGUGGAGGUGUACCUCACAGAACUGAAGCUGUGUGAAGACGGCAACAUAGACAACGUGGUCACCAGACGCUUCAGCAAAGCAGACACGAUAGACACCAUUGAGAAGGAGAAUGCGAAAACUGUUCAGUAUCCCAGACGAGAAAGAGACCAGGUUGUGGAACAAGUACAUGAGCAACACGUUCGAGCCUCUGAACAAACCGGACAGCACUAUACAGGACGCAGGACUCUACCAAGGACAGUGUUUAAGUAAUGUUCCUCCUCUCACAGAGUAUUUCCUGAAAGACAAGUACAACGAUGAGUUGAACGAGGACAACCCUCUGGGAAUGAAAGGGGAGAUCGCCAAGGCCUACACUGAGAUCACCAAGCAGUCGUGGUCUGGGAAGUACAGCUACGUCACACCACGGCCUUUCAAGACCCAGGUGGGUUGUUUUGCUCCCCAGUUCAGGCUACCAGCAGCAGGACUCUCACGAGCUGCUGGCCUUCCUGUUGGACGGUCUACACGAGGACCUGAACCGUAUCAGGAAGAAACCCUACAUCCUCCUUAAAGAUGCCGAGGGCAGGCCUGACAAGGUCUGCGAGAUGGAGACUGACGAGCAGGAUGGAGACGACGAAUCCAGUCAGGACCCAGGAGCUGCCCUCUGAGAACGACAACAGCCAAUCAGAGGACUCUGUGGGUGGCGGGGACAAUGAGCUGGAGAACGGGGUUGGUCCAGGGGGAGAUAAUUCGGGGACCAAAGGUCACCAGAACCAGAUGUCUACGACGAUGGAGGACAAGAAGAGAUUGUUUACAUUCCAGUUUAACAACAUGGGGAAGACUGACUUCAGCUUAAUCAAGGAGGAACCGCGGCAGAUCCGGUUCAACGAGGGACACCUCAGACUCAGUGACCGGUCCUAUCUCUCUUUGGACUGGGAACCAGAGGUUAAGAAUAAACACUUUCAUGAGGGUAUCACAGAGGACUUUGAGAUGCAUGAAAGCAUGGAGUAUAAGCCUCAGAAGAAAGCCUUCUUCAAGCUGAAAGACUGCAUCGAGCUGUUCACCACCAAAGAGAAGCUCGGAGCUGAGGACCCAUGGUACUGUCCAAAAUGCAAGGAGCACCAGCAGGCCACUAAGAAGCUGGACCUGUGGUCUCUGCCACCUGUCCUGGUGGUCCAUCAGAAACACUUCUCAUACAGCAGAUACAUGAGGGACAAGCUGGAUUCACUAGUUGAUUUCCCACUCAGUGACAUGUAAAUGUCAGAGUUCCUGAUCGACCCUAAUGCUGGUCCCUGUCGCUACGAUCUCAUUGCGGUCUCCAACCACUAUGGAGGCAUGGGACGAGGACACUAUACUGCUUAUGCGAAGAACAAGGAUGAUGACAAGUGGUACAACUUUGACAACAGCAGUGUCUCUCCAGCCAACAAAGAUCAGAUAGUGUCCAAAGCAGCGUACGUGCUGUUCUACCAGCGCCAGGACACAGUGAAUGGAACAGGCUAUUUCGAUCUGGCCCGAGAGGAGGAGAACAGAGAAGGGGAGGAGGAGAGGAAGAGCGUCACUUCAUCCCAGGGGGCCUCUGCUUCAGUCCAGAGCAACGAAGAUGUAAACGACAAUGUCACCAUGAAAACCAACUGAGCUGGAGAAACAGAGACAGAGCGAGAGACAACAAUAUCCAUCCUAAGCCAUAUCGACAGACACAGAGCAGUGGGCCAGGCCUGAGGCUGUGCACUGACCUCUGACCCCAUCCAGCCCUAUGAAGAGUAGGCUACAGGGGAAAAUAAAAACUGAGCGGUUUGUCAGUGCUGGAACACCCAAGCAACAUUACUAAAGAAAUCAGGGCCUAUAGAUGUCUGUGGUCCGGUGACUGACCGGUCUUAUUCGUGUCGCAGUGAGUCUUCUCCAUGUCCAUUCUACAUGAAUCAUCCACUCUGGAGGAAAAAUAAGUUAAGCUCUGUUCUGAUUCUGAACAAUGACAUAAUCCUGAAAUCUAAUGGAUCCAUUAGAAGUGUUAGGAAGGCCUGCAUUACGAAGUUCAGUUCGUCAUAGAAUCAAGCACAGAAUAUCACAGUGCAGUGGUGUCGCUGCUUUGGCACUUCGAACCGAUACUCCCACCCACCUGCUUUAAUUUUGUUAAGUUUUUAUAUUUUUGAGAGCGCAAUGCAUUACCAUACCAUUUUACCAUUCUUUUUAAGCUAGGCCUUGUAAAUAUAUUUUUUUUAAUGAACACUGAAUUAUUAUUUUUAUUAAGUUUUAAUGAUGCGCUGAAGCCUUUUUGGGAAUUCGUCCUAAUACUUUUAUUUUGUUGCACAAUCACCUCUACCCUCAUUUAAAAAAAUAAUGAGUCUUAUAUUAGUGUCACGUACUGCAAUUGCUUUACAAAUUACUCUGAGCCAGGGUCUUCUCAGUUAAAAUGCUUUGAAUGCCUUUUUAAACACUGGUCAACAGAACACACAUCCACACAUAGUGACUGCUCUGUGUAGAGUAGGAGUGCUGAUCUAUGAUCAUUUUUGCCUUUUAAGAUCAUACUGAAUACGGUUAUAUGGACAGGGAGGGACCUGAUCCUAGGUCAGUCCUCCUACUCUGCUUUGUGUAUGUGAGGAGGAAGAGCAAAAUACAUUUCAUAAUGUAAAACAACCAAACCAGUCAUGUGGUGAACUUGCAUUUUAGACACAACUAAUGUACACAAUAUGAGCCUUGUGUUUUAUUCUGCUGGUCCUUACAGUAAGUAUCCUCCUAGCAGCAUGAAGUCAAGUUCCAGAAACAACCCCUAGACACUUUUGUAGAUCUGAAAUGAUCAGAUAGGUGAAUUUUUCGCAUACCUAUCACAUGACAAGGUGGAGCUAUUACCAUAUUGCUCACACCCAAUUCUUUCAGAUCUGCAUAAGUGAUUAGGAGACGUGUUUGCAUAUUAGGUAGGGGCUUUUCUGGGACGGACCCAUCACUUUUAGGCUGUAUGUUGCAUUACUAGCUUUACAUGGCGUCUCCUCCGCUACCUGCUCCCUCUAGAGGCUUUUUGAGAUUAUGAAUAUUGGUGAUACAUUAGAUUUCUGUUUCUUGGUUGGAUCACCUCAGCCUUAACUCUUAAUCUCAUAUUGUAGUCUUUAGCACAUUAUUACGUCACGCUGUUUGUGCAUGGCACCGAAACACACACACUUAAACACACUUAAACAGGACACAGACAUGAGCUGAAACUCAAUCAUACACUCACAGGAACACUUACGUUCACACCCUCAACCCUACCUUUGCUGUUCCCAACAGAAACAUACAUGAAUAGCAACCGCUGCUACUGGAAUUCAACCUUUUUUUUUGUCAAAUGCGAGAGCCCGAAUGUAUGCUGAAUGACUGACUUGAACUGAUCCACUUGUAAGGCCAGGUUGUUUUUUUGCCUCAUCUUUUCUUGCUUUGUUUAAAUGUGAGGGGGGAAAUAGUAGAGGGUUCAUUACCUUUGAUAGAAAUACCUGGGUACUGCUGCAUGUGUCCACUCUUCCAAGGGAAAAUAAUGCUUCAUUGUGGUUUGAGCAUGGAGUAGGGUCUUUCGCUGUAGAGGGCGGGAGGGAUGGGUGAAGGGUAGUAUUACUGAUCAGCCUGACUGGGUGAGAUAUGGUGAUUACAUAUAGGAUAUAUAAUACUGUACAUAAGAGUUCACUCUGUGUGCACAUUUGAUAAUAUUUAUUUAUUUAUAUGUAAGCAUUAAUAAAACAAAUAUAUAUAUUUAAAGACAUUGGCAAGACCGACGAAUGUAAUAGGGAUUUGGCUUCAUAGUCCACAAGUUCAGGGUUGUGUCCGAAAUGGCGCCCUAUACAUCGUGCUCUAUAUUUUGAACACACACCCAGAAUUCUUGACUGUGCUCUUCUCUUCUGGGGGAUUGAAUAUUUUUUAAAGAGCUAUUGUUCUGACUUUUUUUGUAAAGGUGAAUACAUUCAGUCAUCCUUGCAUGACAGGGUUUCCAGGUUUGGCUGCGUUUGAGUUCACUUGGGUUUUACGUUUGAAAGGUGCAUGUGUAUUUAUACACAAACUUCAAUAAAGUUGUGUAAAGCCUA